GACAGCAGACAGGAUUGUAGUAAAAGCUCCUCUUUACACAAAAGACCAAAAGCAGCACAAAAAGACAUGUUUGCCAGUAAGAGGUUUCAGAUAGACUCUGAAGAUUCUUAUGACAGCGGCAGAAAUACUUCUGAUGAUGGACAGUUCUCUGGUAGUGGCAUUUUACAAAAUGAAAACAGAGGACAAAAGAGACACAGAGAAGAAGAUAGUUCUCCUGGAGAUUUUACUACAAUGAAAAAGUCAACAGCUCAAACCUCAGAAGUCAUCAGUUUAUUGUCUGAUGAUGAUGAUGUCAUAAUACUUGAUCCUCCUCCUCCUUCAGAUAAAGGAUAUGAUAAAAGAUCAACUGGAAAUAAACCACACAGAAGAAAAACUGGCUCCAACAAAUAAUGUACUGAAUGUUAACCCUCUUGUCACUUAUUUUACUUAUUUUUUAUACACAA